rnacentral:lncRNA from 1 species
UGCCCGUUCUGUGCCCUUUAAUUUGGAUUAGUUUGUAAGCAUAUUCUAUUCUGAUUCUAUUUUAUUAACUGAUAGAAGUAAAUACAUGUACAAGUUCUUUUCCCAUGUUUAUCACUGUGAUACAUGACCUUCACUUCGGAAAUAUAAAGAAAAAGAUUCACAGUAACAAAUAUUUAGAGAGAAAAAAAAACAAGCUCAUAGUCUGUAAAACAUGUUUUUGAGUUUGAGAACCAUAUAUUGAAUCAAUCUAGUUGCAUUGUACAAUGUAGUAUCGGUAAAGGAAUGAAUAAAGACAGGAAAUUCACAACUCUUCGGGAG